CUGACUUUUAAUGCCUUAAAAAUACUGUCCAAGGUAGCUUUCCUUUUGAUUUAUCUUUAUGUAUAUUUUCACCAAAACUGCAGCCUUAAAAAUGCUUUCAAAGUCUCACGGAAUUGCCCUGAUAAGACAUAUUUUAGUUUCAGUUCAGUUACUCCAUUUUAUGUGUCACGUUUCCAAUUACUAUGCAAUAUCUACCUGAGAAUUCAACUACUCCACCUUAGAUGAAAGACCUCAAGUAUCUUUGAUAAGACUCUUCAGCAUACAAGAAACUUAUUUCAUUCAAUCUAUUCAACAAAUAUACAUUGAGCACCUGCCAUGUAAUAGGCAAUGUUCUGUGAGCCAAGUAUACAUGAAUAAAGAGCAGAUAUUCAAUAAGUGCCUCUGGAAAGUUAAGGCUUAUUUUUUUAAAUUCAAUCAUCUGAGUUGGAAGUGAUCUGAAUGGAGUAGAUGGGAGAAAGUGUUACACAUAAAAAACAAAUCCAAGAGUAAUGUCAAAUUUGAGGGAUUAAAUUGUUAUUUUCCCCUUAUAAGGAUUAAAAAAUUUUAAACCUACUUUAUUGAGGUUGUAAUAUUGGAUCACUUUGCAUCUAUUAGUAACUGAUAUGAAUUCGCUCCCCAAUCCAUAUCAUUUGUUCCCACUAAAAUCUCCUCUUGAAAUGUAAUCCCCAUAAUCUCCACGUGUCAUGGCGGGACCAAGUGGAGGUAAUCGAAUCACAGGGGCAGUUUCCUCUAUGUUGUUCUCAUGAUAAUGCGUGAGUCUUAUGAAUUUAUGAGGCAAAUAUUAACCAAAUACAAAAGACAAAUAAAUAUACAAUCAGAAGAAAAAAAACAACUACAGGCCAAUAACCUCAAUGAACAUAGAUUGAGGCAUUAGGCUGUUUCCCUCUUUAUAUCUAGUUUAUUAGUAAUCUCUCUCAUAACACUGGGCAUUGCACUGAAACAAAUGUAAAGAUCUUAAUAAGAAGGGUAUAAAAUUUAGAGGGCCAGGGGUAGAAUUGCUAUAGUUUGGAUUAUUUGACUCCUCCAGACCUUAUGUUGAAAUCUGAUCCUCAAUGUUUUAGGUGGGGCCUAAAGGGAAGUGUUUGGAUCAUGGAGGUAGAUACUUCAUGAAUAGCUUGUUGCUAUCCUCACAGUAAUGAGCCCUCUUGCUGUAUUAAUUCCUGUAAGAGCUGGUUGCUAUAAAGAGCUUGGUACCUGCUCUCACCGCCUUGCUCUCUUGCUUUCUCUCUCACCGCGUGCUCUGUGCACAUGCCUGCUCCUCUUUGCCUUCUGUCAUGAGUGAGGACUGCCUGCAGCCUUCCCCAGAAGCAGAUGCUGGUGUCAUGCCUCUUGUAUAACCUGCCUAACUGUGAGCCAAAUAGAUCUCUUUUCUUUAGCAUUUACUCAGACUCCAGUUUUCCUUGACAGCAACACUGAAAGAACGAAGACAAUGGCUCUUCCAGAGGAAGAAAGAUUAUCCUGUCCUGGCUAUCUUGU
rnacentral:lncRNA from 1 species